rnacentral:rRNA from 1 species
UACGGAGGGAGCGAGCGUUGUCCGAAGUUACUGGGCGUAAAGCGCGCGUAGGCGGGCAAUUAAGUGAGAAGUGAAAGGCUGGGGCUUAACCCCAUGCAGUGCUCCUCAUAGUGGUUUUCUUGAGGGUGGUAGAGAGAAGUGGAAUGGCUGGUGUAGCGGUGAAAUGCGUAGAUAUCAGUCGGAACACCAGUGGCGAAGGCGGCUUCUUGGGCCAUUACUGACGCUGAGGCGCGAAAGCCAGGGGAGCGAACGGG